rnacentral:rRNA from 1 species
UACGGAGGGGGCUAGCGUUGUUCGGAAUUACUGGGCGUAAAGCGCACGUAGGCGGACUGUUAAGUCAGGGGUGAAAUCCCGGGGCUCAACCUCGGAACUGCCUUUGAUACUGCAAGUCUCGAGUCCGAUAGAGGUGAGUGGAAUUCCUAGUGUAGAGGUGAAAUUCGUAGAUAUUAGGAAGAACACCAGUGGCGAAGGCGGCUCACUGGAUCGGUACUGACGCUGAGGUGCGAAAGCGUGGGGAGCAAACAGG